CUAUGGAGAAGCACUGUGAUUGGAUCAGGCUACAACUUCUGAUGAUGUCAGCAGACUGUUUUUUUUCUGAGUCUAACAGCAUGCAGAGUUACAGCUUCAGGCUUGAAUACAGGAAGAUUUAAACUAUAUUUAUGGAGGCAUGAGGGGCCCAGGGGGGCUAGAUGGUUGUGUUAACACUAUAGGGUCAGGAAUACAUGUAGUUGCACUGGUGACUAUAGUGUCCCUUUAAUAUUUCGGGCUCCAACGCUCAAAUUUCUGCACGGAUAUUCUCCUUAAGCUGCUUAAGUGUCCAGGGUUUGUUCACGUAGACCUCUGAAAGUGUCAGCCAAUUAAUCUGUGAAUUUCUUGAACUUAUCCACUUGCUAAACAGUUGUCUCAGUUUUGAAAGUAAAAUUCCAUUACUUUUCCGCAUUGCUCCUUUGUGAAAUUACCCAUGAU